rnacentral:rRNA from 1 species
UACGAAGGGAGCUAGCGUUGUUCGGAAUCACUGGGCGUAAAGCGCACGUAGGCGGGCUUGUAAGUCAGGGGUGAAAUCCCGGGGCUCAACCUCGGAACUGCCUCUGAUACUGCAAGUCUCGAGUCCGGAAGAGGUGGGUGGAAUUCCUAGUGUAGAGGUGAAAUUCGUAGAUAUUAGGAAGAACACCGGUGGCGAAGGCGGCCCACUGGUCCGGUACUGACGCUGAGGUGAGAAAGCGUGGGGAGCAAACAGG